GGGGAAAUAGCUCAGUGACAGAGCAUUUGCUUGGCAUGCAGAAGGUCUGAGGUUCAAUACCAGGGCAUCUUCA